GCUGGGUGGAUUAGUGGCGAACGGGUGAGUAACACGUGAGUAACCUGCCCUUAACUCUGGGAUAAGCCUGGGAAACUGGGUCUAAUACCGGAUAGGAGCGUCCACCGCAUGGUGGGUGUUGGAAAGAUUUAUCGGUUUUGGAUGGACUCGCGGCCUAUCAGCUUGUUGGUGAGGUAAUGGCUCACCAAGGCGACGACGGGUAGCCGGCCUGAGAGGGUGACCGGCCACACUGGGACUGAGACACGGCCCAGACUCCUACGGGAGGCAGCAGUGGGGAAUAUUGCACAAUGGGCGAAAGCCUGAUGCAGCGACGCCGCGUGAGGGAUGACGGCCUUCGGGUUGUAAACCUCUUUCAGUAGGGAAGAAGCGAAAGUGACGGUACCUGCAGAAGAAGCACCGGCUAACUACGUGCCAGCAGCCGCGGUAAUACGUAGGGUGCGAGCGUUAUCCGGAAUUAUUGGGCGUAAAGAGCUCGUAGGCGGUUUGUCGCGUCUGUCGUGAAAGUCCGGGGCUUAACCCCGGAUCUGCGGUGGGUACGGGCAGACUAGAGUGCAGUAGGGGAGACUGGAAUUCCUGGUGUAGCGGUGGAAUGCGCAGAUAUCAGGAGGAACACCGAUGGCGAAGGCAGGUCUCUGGGCUGUAACUGACGCUGAGGAGCGAAAGCAUGGGGAGCGAACAGGAUUAGAUACCCUGGUAGUCCAUGCCGUAAACGUUGGGCACUAGGUGUGGGGACCAUUCCACGGUUUCCGCGCCGCAGCUAACGCAUUAAGUGCCCCGCCUGGGGAGUACGGCCGCAAGGCUAAAACUCAAAGGAAUUGACGGGGGCCCGCACAAGCGGCGGAGCAUGCGGAUUAAUUCGAUGCAACGCGAAGAACCUUACCAAGGCUUGACAUGUUCUCGAUCGCCGUAGAGAUACGGUUUCCCCUUUGGGGCGGGUUCACAGGUGGUGCAUGGUUGUCGUCAGCUCGUGUCGUGAGAUGUUGGGUUAAGUCCCGCAACGAGCGCAACCCUCGUUCCAUGUUGCCAGCACGUAAUGGUGGGGACUCAUGGGAGACUGCCGGGGUCAACUCGGAGGAAGGUGAGGACGACGUCAAAUCAUCAUGCCCCUUAUGUCUUGGGCUUCACGCAUGCUACAAUGGCCGGUACAAUGGGUUG
rnacentral:rRNA from 2 species